CGCUGAAAUUUAAGCAUAUCACUAAGCGGAGGAAAAGAAACUAACUAGGAUGGCCUCAGUAACGGCGAGUGAAGCGGCCAGAGCCCAAGAUGGUAAUCUCCGUGCAGCGCACGGCGAAUUGUAAUCUAGAGAUGCUAUUCUCAACGGGUGGUGGCGCAGAAGUGCCCUGGAACGGGCCGCCAAAGAGGGUGACAGCCCCGUACGUGGCGCCGCCGCUCAACGAGAAGGUAUUCGAAGAGUCGGGUUGUUUUGUAUUGCAGCCCUAAGCGGGAGAUAAACUUCUUCUAAGGCUAAAUAUAUGUGGGAAACCGAUAGCGAACAAGUACUGUGAAGGAAAGAUGAAAAGCACUUUGGAAAGAGAGUCAAAAGACCUGAAACCGUUGAGGAGGAAGCGGUAGAGAUGAAUUCUACGGCGAUGUGCGGGGAAGGCGAUCUAAUCAUGGCGGGGGAGUCGUACGUCAAAGGCGGCCCUUUGUCCAAGAGGAAAUCGGUGACUUGCGCGGCGUUGUGAGGCCGGAUGAAGUGGCGUGAUCACAAAGGCCUAGCAGGAGUGGCGGGUUUCGAUCUGCAGCCUGUUGGUGCCGGUGGAUGCGUGGCUUGAGGGUGCCUUGUGCGAUCCGGUCAAAAUGGUCUUUACCGACUCGUCUUGAA
rnacentral:rRNA from 1 species